rnacentral:rRNA from 1 species
UACGGAGGGUGCAAGCGUUAUCCGGAUUCACUGGGUUUAAAGGGUGCGUAGGCGGCCCCAUAAGUCAGUGCUGAAAUAUCCCGGCUUAACCGGGAGGGUGGCAUUGAUACUGUGGGGCUUGAGUAAAGUUGAGGUUGGCGGAAUUGACGGUGUAGCGGUGAAAUGCUUAGAUAUCGUCAAGAACACCGAUAGUGUAGACAGCUAACUAAGCUUUAACUGACGCUGAGGCACGAAAGUGUGGGGAUCAAACAGG